AUCCGCCAGAUUGAUCUGCGUCUGUAGCUCCAUGAAGAAAUCCUCCUUCUUCAAUCCACGAUGUGACAAAUCGACCUGGAACAAGAAGGUGCCCGCUCGUAAAAUCCGAUACAUUGUGCGACCAACCGUGCCGUAUUCGUCAUGUCUGCCGACGACUGAGACACGCGAUCAACGAGACGAAAGGAUUGACCCCGUCCAUUGGAACGCCCGCGGUCAGCCCUGAAGUAGCUUCGUCCCUGUCGUUCCAAGCAUCGAUUCAUGGGAUUGAUCCAGAAUGAAAUCAGUUUCAUCGAUAUUCGCAUCGCCUUACGCUUCAUUCCGCACGGGAUCGAAAACACCUUGCGACGGUCUGAUCGUCGAACGGUUCACCCUCACCCUUCGGCAAUUUUUCACGCGAUUCCAAUCCCCGACAACGAAGCUGUCGGCUCGUCGUCGAGCCGAUCUGCCGAGCGUACGCGAGUUGGCUCGCACAAAAGCGCAUCCUCGCGAGGAAAUUUAUCGCUACGGGACGACGCGACGUUUCUCGUGAAAAGCGUCGAAGAAAGGAGGUACACGCGGCGGCGGAGGGAACGAAGAGGACUCGGAGCAAUCUCGUGAAUAGGCACGGCAGCCUUCCUAGGAAGCGUCGCGAAUCAAUUCACGGAUUGACUCUGCGCUGCAACUCGUACCCGAUUUUCCAGCUUUCAGCGCGGAUAUCGAGCGUCUCCGAGCGGAAAACGGAAUAUCCCCCGGCUCUGUCCGGUUACUGCAUGAAAAAUCGACCGGCAAUGGAAUGCAAUAUACCCUUGAUGGACCCCGAGGUCCAACUCGUUCACCAUUAGCAGUGUCAUAGCCGUUAUUCAUCUAAUUCCAAUGGAUCCCGUAAUAAUGAUCGAACGUCGAUGCGACCGACAAAUAACGCGUAAUGACUACGUCGGUUUAUGCAGGUAAUUGCUUUUACUCCGAGCCGCUUCAUUAUGAUAUAAUGAAAAGAAAAGAGACAGCAUGAGAGUGAGAGAGAGAGUAGAGCAGCCCCAAAAUGGGGUAUAUCAUCGUGGCUGCGGCGAGAUAUCGGGCUCGGGGCCACAAUGAUGAUAAUCAUCGUAGUCGUCGUCAUCAUCGUCAUCUCCAUGGACAACAAGCGUCCGCGCACCCCUUGACGAGGGAUCGGGACCGCCCUGAAAGCCACGGUGAUUGCGACUCCUCGAUUUAUUGAACGGCCCUGGAUAACGUCCCCACGCGUCAUGGAUUUCGCGAAUUUACAUGAAAAUCGACCGGGUCUUAUUUUAAUUGGGAAACGGACGCCGAUCACUAGCGAUUCAUGGAAAAUUAAAUUAACACACGCGAGAAGGCGACCUCGUUGCGAUAGUUUUAUGAAUUUUUUAAGCGAUUACCAAUAUUUCAAUCCAUCGAUUUUCAACUAAUAAUUUUCUUUUCAAAACUGAUACAUAAAAUCAAACAAAACAUCGAAUCAAAGGAAAAAAGAAACGAUACACCUGUUUCACUUGCAUUUUUUCCCCAGGCGGGGGAAAAAACGCGGAAUCCCAGUCCCAUUUUCCAAUGGCGAGCUUCAAAUUGAUCGUUCGAAACGUUGAAGAAGGAUUAGCUGCUUGCGAAUCUAGAAAAUACAACCGCUACACGCCCGAUCGAAAUUAAAACGUCCGGAAAAUCCCAGAUUUAUGCCCAUCUGGCCGGUCCUUCAAACCAUCGCUCCAUAUCCGUCAGGUUACGAUGAUCCCUCGAUGAUUCUCUCUCUGAAUGUUACACGAAUUUCACCUACGCGCAUUUCCCUCUACUAUUCCGACCGAUACGGGAUGAUGAACUACGCGGAUUGAAAGCGAUCACGGGUGUUAACAACGUUAUGACAUCCAACCUGGCAUAUCGUUGUGGAUGUGGUCACGGUGCCUAUGGUGUUUCUCGUGGCGCGAGGUUGUGGCGUUUACAUGUAACCCAGGCCGAAAACCACCGGCGUACGAAGUCGAGUGUCGUGGAAAUUCACUUACGGUUACCGCAAUGGGUCACCUGCUCCACUGUUGUCGCACCUUCUUUCACUUAUUACUUUAUAUUAUUUCAUUUUAGUGGAAAUUUUCAACAAUUCCGAAAUUAGCCCAAGUAUUAUUGUUUCUAAUUAUCGAGCUAAAAUUUUUUUUGUAUUCUAAAAUUCUUUGUAGUCUAAAAUUUUCUCGCUAAAUCGAAGAUGAUUAUAAUCAUCCAUGGUUCCGUUUGCCUUUUUAAUCGGCUGAAACAAAAUCGGCAAAGGGGGUAGUUUCACCCCCGUUCUGUCGUUCCUCUGGUAGGCAGAUCCGCGCGUGUUCACGCGUGUACGUACGAGCAAUAAUGCAACGAUACAGCCGGUGUUUAGUACUCCCGUAUUAUCGUGAUCCGUGUUUGACCAUGGUUCGCAGCCGCGGCUGUUUGCGCGAUACACAUCCGCGUGGAUUGCUACUAGUCGGAUCACGAUAUCGAGGCAGAUGUAUCGUUAAGAUAUCGAACGUGAUAUCAAGCGUCGAAUAUGCCUGGUGCACGUAUUCGCGUAACCGGCAAACGAUCCUGGCCCCGAAACGAAAUUGUUCCGAGAGAAUCACGCUCGAGCCAGGCAUCGAUUGCCACGGUUACAGCCACUUCGAAAGGCGUAGGCGAUAGUCAAGCAACGAUUUUGACGUGGUUAACUGCCGGCUAGCCCCGUACGUUCAAACGAUCCUUCGAUACCGACGGCAACAAUUCAGCUUUUGCUUUUUUAACCGACGCGACGUUCAGUUGCCUGUCUUUCGUUUCCUCGUUAACGAUCGUUCGCUUUAUCGUCACUGUUGUUUAUAAAGCUUCUAUCUCUUUUCUCGUACAAAUUUUUGUGGCACAAAUUUUUACGAUUUUAUGAUAGAUGAUUUCAAUACUCAGAAUUUCGAAUAUUCAAUAAUUUUAUUAUUUGCCAAACUAUCUUCAUACGCGAUUGACUCGAAGAUCCAACACGAAGCUCAAAGCUCUCCGUUUCGCAAUCGAACCAAACCAGAAUCAGAGCCAUUGAAAGCGGACGCCAAACGAAAUACGUCCGACAAAUCCCAAGCAGGACACUCGAGAUAUACGAUCAAUAGGUUUUCGAUUAAUUCGAACGGUAGAGUAACAUGAAACUGCAAUUGAGAGUAGUAUUUUUGCAAAAGAAAAGAGAGAAAUUUUUGUGAAAUUUUAUACCUGAAAGAUGGCAAAAAGUAUCAUGAAAUAUCUAUGAAAUAUUAACAAAGGAAACUGUCGUAAAAAUAAUGAAAAGUUUUGUGUAUUCCUAUCUCGAUCAUUCGUUUAAGGUCGGGGAUGGUCGGUUAGAAAGCGUCUUUUGGAAACAAAAAAAAUUCAUUCACGCUCGGCCACAGUGUACAUACACGCGUGCAUGCGCGUCCGAGAUACGGGGCCUCUUUACGAGCAAUAUCUAAUGGAUUGCAUCGACCGAGCGCAAACGUUAAAUUUGACGUUCACGAUUAUUGCGGCCCUCCGGGGAGGUCGUCGGAAUACAGCAGGGAAACACAGGGGGGAGGGAUGGACGACGCUCGACGUUAAUUUUAUAAUCCUGGCGAAAAAGUUACGACCCUCGAGUCGACCGAGUCCGGAUCUCUUUUCCUCUUUUCCAGCUAUGCUUUUAUACCCUCCGCGCCUACCCCACCCCCGUACGGUGUUCAACGGUUCCCGCUUUGUCACGUUCUAUCGCUAAAUCUCGCGGAACUACGAACACUCUUGCGCCCGGCGAAUUCUCGACAGGAUUUCCUCUGCUUUUCUCCCUUUUUCCCAUGGAAAUCUACCGGUACUCGGCUUUCGUGAAAAACUCGUUUAAUACGUUUAACGGUACGCGACGUUUGCACUCGUGUGUUAUACUAGUUUCAUUGUCCGAGAAAUUGUAUCAUCGCGUGCGAUGAAGAAAUAAUUUUGCAAGAAAAUUUUACGAAGAAUAGUUUUGAAAAUUUAGAAAUUCUCAACUAUUCUCAUAAAAAAAGAAAAAGAAGAUAAGCUCCGAAUAAUUCAAGAAAUGCAAGAAUUUCUUAAGACACGCCAUCCGCAAUCCCCUCAAAGAAUGUUCACCCUUUGAGAUUACAUAUUACCAGAUCGCGACAGCCAGUGUAUUUAGGUAAUUUCCGUGCUCUUUGCCAGCUCAUCACGGUCGGUCACGGUUGGAACCGCUCGCGAGGCAUGGCAAGUCGAAAGGGUUGUAUCGCGGGUGUAAUAUUCAUAAGUAAGCGGCUUGCUUUUCGCGCUCACCGACGGCUGUUAAGUUUAACGGAGUUACGCGUAAACGGGUCUCACUUUGCGCUUAAGAAAAUCGCUUUGACGGAGCUAGAUCGUUUCCAGGAGUCGAGAGGGUGUCUCGUAAAGCCACGGCUCUUUUAGCUUGUCUAAAGGUUCGUCUCGCGACAGCAACCGAGAGGAAAUUCUUGCCAGCCAUUCUUUCGUUUUAUUGUUUAUUCAAAAGCUCGUUAGAAUUUCAUUGGGAAGGCGGAGGGUUUGGUCGUUUACGUGCAACGCGUACGCGAAACGAUCCUGUUUAAGGGGGUGUAAGCGGCUUUUUUUCUCUUGGGGUACAAAGGGCCUUGUUGCCGUGCCGAAACAGCUUUUUGACUGGCUCGUUCUGUUUAGCCUUCGCGAGGAAUAAUUAACGCGGUAUCAAAAGAGAUUAUGAAAAUUCCACGGACCGUGUGCCGUAUCGCUUUAAGAACAAAAAUUUCAACCCGGAUGAACAAAUAGAAGAGAUAUAAACGUGUAUUUCUGAAAGAACAUUCAAAAAUCUUUGCGAAUCAUUUUGGAAAGGAAGAAGCAAUUUAUUUCAUUUGUUUUUAUUCUUCGAUAGUUAAUUAUUAAAAAAACACAGAAAUUGUGAAGAUGGAAUUUUCUAUCUCUGAAAAUCUUUCAAAUAAGAAACUAGGUCACUUUCCAGGAAAAGCUUUUCUUCCAUCAUUUCGAUAAAACCACUCCUUUCAUCCUCGAAAAUUGAAAGCUAUCCGUUCCUCGAAGCUGUAGUCGAACCAAGACGAGCAACAAGCCAUAGCUUCUAAAGGAAGUAAAUUAUUUUCAAGCAAAUUCGUUCUCGAGACUGUGAUUUCCUACCCUCGUAUCAGCUCGAAACGCUUCGAAAGCAAAAUCUUGCUCGACGUCGCGGUAAUGAGUGCAUCAUCCCCAUUAUGCGACCGUCCGACGACGGUUCGUUCUUUCUACGAACCGAUGCAAGGAAUAAUCACGGGGACAAAGCGGAGCGAAGCAACGGCGCUCCGGAAAUGACGAUCCUCGAGGAGGUUCCUUCCAGCGUCCUUCUGGCGGCGGUGUCCUCGGUAGAACGUACAAUGAGCUUGUAAUACGAAUCGGCAGGAAACCGAUGACGGCGUUGUUGCGUCCUCCGUGAAGCACAAAAGCGUCCAGCAUCUAGAUAAUAACUUGGGGUAAUCAUCGAACGAGGCGUCGCGUCGCGUCGCUCGUGUUCUCGCAACGACGCAGCAGCGUCUGGAAGGAUACGUGUCUGUUGUUCGUACAGGGAAUAUGUGGCCUGGUAAUCACUCCUGUCGUUUGAAAUAAUUCGUUUCCUUCUGAAGGGAGACCAUAUGCAUGAGUAACGAUUUUCCACAGGAUUUCUUGUUUAUUCCAGCGAGUUUUUUGAGUGGAAUAAGAUGGUAAAUCAAUUUAGAAUUAGAAUUUAGUUUAAUUCAAUAAUUAUACAUAUAGUAGGAGAAUAAAGAAAAAUGAAAAAUCUAUUGAUUAAUAGCAAGGAAGAGUAAUAAUAGGGAUGAAAAAGCGAAUUAUUUCAAUCAAUUAAUUUUAAUCAAUUAAAUCAACAAUUUGAAUACAAUGGGUGAAAAUAAGUCUCGUUAGAUUUAGCUAUUUUUAUUGCGUCAAUUAACGCGUUAAACAAGCCAGCCAAUAUUUACGCAUCCUUAACACACAUUGCAUAUUUCUUUGCCUCUAUCAUCGACCCGUUUUUUCCUCAACGAUGAGAAGCGCUUAGCAGGGAGAGACACAUGUGUGUCACUCGUUGCUCCAUUUAAAAGGCGAGCUGGAGAGCAAAGGAAGGACGUCAGCAUGCGCACUUUCAUCCCGUGUAAUUAAAACCACGUCGUCGUCCUUCGGCUGGCGAGUGGAAGGAGGAUAAUGACGCCGCGACGCCAUCAAGAGACAAGGGAGGACGAUCCUAUGCGCGUGUUUCGUGCGUGCGUACACUAGCUCGCUCGCGCUUUCCCCUAUUUACGUUCGCGUUCUCUCGUUAAUGUUUGCCUCCACGAAACCGGCGUCCCGACGCCUCAGACCUCCUUCUAACAUUUCAGAAUCGUGUUCUACCGCAUCCUCGCGUACAUUUUGCGUAAUUACCGCGGGAGAGGGUAACAACCCCCUUUUUUCUAUUCCCUUCGUUUACUGUUACUUUAUCAUUUUUAGAAUCGAAUGAAGUAGCUGUAUUUUUUUCUUCAACGAACCUUCCUUUGAAUGAAUUAAUUACUGAAUAAUCAGAUGACCACUAUUUUUUCGUUUAUACCCUAAAAGCUUUAGAACGAAAAUGCAUUGCUACUGUUUUUAACAGGAUCGCAGUUCGGUUAACGAAAUUCCAUUCAAUUUCACCAGUCCAGCUCCUCGAGAUCCAACGUCCAAUGGAGCAGACAGGAACUCUGUAACCCCCUUCGGAAAACUCGUGACUUUUUCUCGACAAUAUUUACACCAGUGCAGCAAUUUAUCGAAACAAGUUGGAUUAUAAAACCGCGACAGAUUAUUACCGUUGAAAUUCCUUCGCGAGUUUCUUUCGAUUACAAGAAUCGCGCGAAAGUUGACGUAAAAAGCUACGAAACUUCACGGAUUAACCUAUUAACCCGGUGUACAGGUUCUUAAGCAAUUCUUCGAAGUUCGUUUCCUCACGGAACAACGUCGUUUUCCAACUAUCAUAAUAACAGGCAUUAAAACAUGAGAUACGCGUCGGACCACUCGAGAAAACUCCAAUUUUCCGUAGCGAAAGAAAAAAACGAGCUCGGAGCUCGGGGCUUUCUUUUCACCCAGUUCGUUGGUAACGUUUGUCAACAAGCAUCCUCUUCUUGGUCAAUCCCUUCUAACCGUCCCCUUGUAAAAUCAUUCGGGCUACUUGUAGAAACGAUUUACCAUCGAAGUUCUGAAAGGUUGUCUUCGCGAGCUGAAAGUUUCGCGAAAGUUUGCCAGGGGCGUCGAUCGGUCGUCUUUAAAGGUAGGACGUUGCCCCGGGUUCGCGUGAAGGGGUUUGGUACCACUGGCAUAGAUGCAUAAACGCGUAGCACGCACGCACUCGCUUACACAAGCGCAGCUAGCAGCACGGACCGUGACGUGCGUGUGGACGAACAAGACGAGCGGUACCUACAUUACAUGCAAAUAAAUAUGCCAUGCAAGAGGGGUGCAGGGUGCGAGGGAUACGACAGGGUGCAACAAUAGGCCCUCACCAGUCGCCAUGGUAACACCAUCAAUCCCUUAGCAACAGCUUGAGAUCUUAAAGCCGAGAGGAUUCGCUGCGACUCGCGCGGAUCAUUUAAUGACGGCAUACGCGAUUGAACGAGGUCGACCGAGGUCACGACUUCGGGUCACCGGGUUCCUAGGUUCCUCAAGGCUUUGAAUGGAGAAAGCUUUAGGAGAGGGUAAGUUGGAUAUGUAGGAGUAAGGAAGAGGUUUCCUUUUCAACCCUUUCCUUUACGAUCGAGCUUGGAUAAUGAGAAACGUAGAUACAUUUUAUUUGUUGUAUAAUUUUAUUAAUAAUUUACAAUAUUCGGUGGUGGUAAAUGUAUAUUAAUAAGAAAAAAAUGAAUCCACCGUGCAGAUCGAAAGAUUCGUCCACGAGACUGUCGAUAAAAGCCCGGGGGUUAAAUCUUCAUUCGGUGAAAUCCAUCGAAUCCCAGGUUUCCCAUAAACCGGGACGGACUUUAAUCACAGCAGGGGCCGCGUUAUCAAAUUUCCAUGCUUCCGCUUCGUCCUCGACUACUCGCCACCGUUCGUUCCUUUUUCCGCGGUUAUCGUGGACGAGACGUGACGAAAUACGUUUCCCGCUGCUUUUCAGCCGGCUCGUACGUGACGAAGAUAGCGAUUUGACAAAAAAGGAAGCGACGGUUCGGGGCGAGUAAUCGCGAUGCAAUUAUCGUCGGACGAGCUUAUAGGAUUCUCCGUCGCGUCCAAAGAGGAAAUCCUCGCUCGAAGGCGACUUUAAAGAUUUUCUUUCCCAUUCAUUCCUUUUCGUGCAAAAAAAAAAAAAAAAAACAUAAUACGUCGAAGUAGAAUCUUCAGUUUGGCUCGUUUCCUAGCGGAAGCUACACUUCCCUCUGCAUUCUCGUUUUUCCAUUCGUCGAGGAGCGAACGCAUCCUGCUAGCGCGCCGUGAUUCAUUCGUCGACGCAAUUUACGUAUUUAUCGCGCGAAAUUUCGGCCAGCUUCCUCUCGCAAAUCCGCCGCGAGAAGGAGCGAGCUCGUUUCGCUGACAGCCGACAACCGGAUGCGCUCGUUUUAUCAGAUUUUAGGUUGACGGGCCCUUCUUCUCGAGCCGAGGCCACGGAACUGCUCGGUUAAUUAACCGUGUCCGAGGAGAAAGGGAAACGGAACUGGGUUCGCGAACCUGUCCAUCAAAUAGUCAACUCUUUUCUUUUUCCUACCACCGUCUCUAUGCUAAUUUAAUUAAAACAACUCUUUUGACUUUACAGAGUAGAACGAUACAAGAGAAGAGAAAAUAGAUUCGGUUACUGUAUGCUGGAUUGUUUUAUUCAAUUUAUCUUCGCUAAAUUAUUCUCCUCAAUUCAAUCGAAGAUGAUUCAAUUUACCGCUCAUUAAGUAUAGCAUUCCCAUGUUAGAACUCGGAGUUCGAUUGCUCGAACGCACAGAUAGAACCCGUAACCGGAAACCCUAGCCUCUUAGUCAAUGGGUCGAUACUCCGAGUGCAUCGGUGCAUUCGGUGCACGCCAUGCACCGACGAUAGUCCCGAAUUCAAUUCGGCUAAUGCCGUCUUACGAUCCUCGCGGCGAUUCUCCACGAAUCACAUUCAAUGAACAUAAACUCGCACUGGUUUCAUCUUUAAUCUAUAUUAAUUGCAUCCUUGAUCCUUUCGCUACGAUAAUGUAGAAAAGCACUCAAUGAUCAUUUAUCAAUAGACGACUGAACUCAACCUUAACUAAGUAAAAGUAGAGCGAGACUCUCUUUAAAGUCAACCCUUGGAACUAAACUAAAACUUUUUAUCAACUUAUUUUGAAGUGGCAAAAAAAAAAAAUUUGUUGGCCAUUCGUUGAAAUUUUGACCCACUAAACAAAUGGCGCAAGAAUUUCUGUACAAAAGCGACAGAAAAUCUAAAUGCUCUUUAGCCCCUUUCUCAAGAUUUUCAUUCUUAUUGUUAGAUACGGGUUGGCUAAUAACGAAAGAGUUAAACUCAAAUUAAACCCAUUAAAUUUCGUAUUUAUUCGCGCGCUAUCAACGCAGCUUCGCGUGUCCAUCUUUGGUGAAGCGACAGCAACUUGAAAAUUGGCAGAACGUUCCGCGAGCCCCGUGGAUCGGGCAUUGAUUAAUGGCGCGCCUGUUGCAGCCUUGGUUACAAUGCAAUUUGCUUUGCAGCGGGUCGUUCCGUAUCCCGCGCGCUCGUAUGCAAGUGUGUUUGC